CAAAGCCUUUAAAGAUCCUUCUUACGAGAUUGAAAUAUAAAAGGAAUUGACUUGUUGCCUUUCUCUAGAAGGCCCGAUGGACUCCUCUGGACUCAAAAUACUGAGUACGAAUGGAGAACUUAUGAGGGAUCAAUCACUGAAAAGACCCAAUGACCCUGAUCCAGAGGAUACAAGUAGGAAAGAACUGAAUUCCAAUGGAAUACUUGG
rnacentral:misc_RNA from 1 species